rnacentral:rRNA from 1 species
UACGUAGGGGGCAAGGCGUUGUCCGGAUUCACUGGGCGUAAAGCGCGUGUAGGCGGCGCGUAAGUCGGGUGUGAAAGCCCGGGGCUCAACCCCGGGGAUGCCGCUCGAAACUGGCGCGCUUGAGGACGGAAGAGGGGAGUGGAAUUCCUGGUGUUAAGCGGUGAAAUGCGUAGAGAUCAGGAGGAACACCCGUGGCGAAGGCGGGUUGCUGGGCUGACACUGACGCUGAUGCGCGAAAGCCAGGGGAGCGAACGGG